rnacentral:rRNA from 1 species
ACGAUGAGCACUAGGUGUUGGGCCCGUUAGGGCUCAGUGCCGCAGUUAACGCAAUAAGUGCUCCGCCUGGGGAGUACGCUCGCAAGAGUAAAACUCAAAGGAAUUGACGGGGACCCGCACAAGCAGCGGAGCAUGUGGUUUAAUUCGAAGCAACGCGAAGAACCUUACCAGGGCUUGACAUCCUGCUGACAGGACCUUAACCGGUCCCUUCUUCGGACAGCAGAGACAGGUGGUGCAUGGCUGUCGUCAG